AGGAAAUGAUCUUCAGGGGUGGGCAGGGAAGGCUCCAAAAAGGGGGGGAUCGCUGUGUGGUUGGAGUAGUUAUGAGCUCCAGGCUCCCCAGCACUGGCCUUCGAAGCAGCCAGGAGAAUCCUGCAGGGAGGACACACCCAGCGCUAAGUGCUUUUGUAGGCAAAAGAGGCUCUGCCAGGCAUAUUGUUCUUCAAGUCUGAUGUCUAUUUGAUGGGCUCUCCCUGGCCCUAUGAGACAGAAUGAAUUAUUUUUGUCUGAGUAAAUCAAAACCUCGUCAAAGUCUUCAUACCUAACACCUAUGCUAUAGUUAAUCAGACGACACUGUCGUUAAUGUAAGGAAUUCAGAGCUUGGCAAAUUGAGGAGAAGUUUGUUUUGGAACAGGCCAGGCACCAGGAAGCUGGAGUCUUCAGGAAUGCAGAAGCCGCAUUCAGUUCCUAGGAAGUUGGGGAAAAUCUUCUGCAAGGAGUUCUUUGAAGGAAAUAACAAGUGAAGCCCCGUGGAUAGAAGACUGAACUAUAUGUCUCCUUAUUAUUCAAAAGUCACUCUGGAGCCAAACUGAGGGAAGCAUUUCCUUACCAUGCUGCUGAAAACUGUGGUUCCAUCCUGCCAAGAACAUCCUGUCAAUCUCAGUAAUGGAAAUAAUCUUGGACAGUUAAGUAAUUGGCUAUAUACAUGGUAAAUACCCUAAAAGUGUUUGCAGAUUUCAUCAAAAGCCCAAAUAUUGUUUUACUUAAAACUAAGAACAUGGCAAGAAGGAAAUUAGAGGAAGGAAGCAUCCGUUCCCCCCCGCUUUCCAGACUCUCUGUAAUUUUCUAUGACGAUUUGCACUUUGAUUAUGCUUAGUAACGCCAUAUGCUGGAACGGGAUGCAAGAUCAAAGACACCAACCACAGCACUGCAACCCUUGCUGCAGGCAGGAUCAAAUAUUCCUGUUGGUAGAAUGCUAAUAGGUUCGUGAAGACACUCCCCAUGGCCUCCACCACCCCUACUUCAUUUUCAAAAUAUAAUUGAGAAACCUCAAACAUGAAUGUUCUUAGCAUCUCUUUUAUUGUCUGCUGUCACACUCUGCAUAUUGAAAAGAUAUUCUUACCACUUACAUAUUUUGAACUAAGAAUAUUCAAAACCUUACUGCACAUUGUCUAGAUUUAUAGUAUGCAUGGUCUUACCAAUUUAGGGACUAAGGGCUGGCCUAACAUGGCUUUCCUUUUGUUGAUGAGCAUGCAGAUACUUCAUCUUGUUUUUUUCUACAAUCAAAAUUUUCUAAAAUGAACAUUUAUUUUUAACAGUUGAAAAUCUUUGGUAAAAUUAUAUUUGAUAUAUAUUUGAAAUAGUCACUAUUCAUCUUAAUUUAUGAUUGGUUAUAUAAUUACCUGCUGUACAUUGACCUGUGCAAUAAAAUAGAAUUGUGUAUGUAUAGUUGACUUUUGGAUAUCUGAAAUUCCCAAGCUCAAUUGCAGUGGGUAUAAAUGAUCAGCAUAAGGUUGUGCAAACCUGUAAGGAGGUAAUAGUAGCAGGCAGGAUAUGUGAAAUGGGAUCAGAGGGCUCACUGUGCAGAAGCCAAUCUUAUUAGACUAACACUGGUGCUGUGGAGUGAAGUACUGUGGUGUGAGGGCUGUGCGGUCAUAAAAGGAAGGCUCAGGAGAUGACGCUGGAAGAAAGGCUGAGUGCUUGGACUUGUUUUCCUUUAUAUGGAAGUACUUUUUUCUCAUGUACAAAUAAAUGCAUAUCAAAGACUUGAACAUCAUUCUCUCAAAAUUUCAGGAUUUUUUGUUUUAAGGCUGUCUUUUUGUGUAGUAAAGACUUGCCCAAAUGGCUCCCAAGUUGUAUGAGGAUCUCUGUAUGUUUCUUCUUUUGAAGUCUCAUUAAAAGUCAGUUACCAAAUGCAAAAAACAAAAAAAUAAAAAGACUAUAUUUGGUGCCAUAUUCAUUCUUGCUUUUCACAUUUCUCUCCUGUUACAAAUGGUUUCUCUUAUAAACCUUCUUUUAAAAAAUCAAUCUUGGUAAUGGCAAUAACCUUGGAUAGUCUGUUUGCUAUGUAUGGUGUAAAUAUCCCCAAAGCAUUUGCAGAUGCCAUAAAAGCCAAAUGUGAGUCAUAAACUAUGGUAUCUGUAUGAUGAACAUGGGGGUAGGAAGAUGAGGUCCAGUUACAGUAUCUCUGCCCUUCAGCCACAGCAG